rnacentral:tRNA from 1 species
UGAGUGUAGCUCAGUGUUGGAGCACUUGCCUAGUAUAUGUGAGGCCUGGGUUCAAUCCCCAGCAUCAA